rnacentral:tRNA from 1 species
AAAGGUUUAGGAUAAUUUAAACCAAGGACCUUCAAAGUCCUAAAUAGGAGUUAAAUCUCCUAACCUUUG